AAAAAUCUAAAGAAAAGAUACACUCUGCAAAAGCUGCAACGUCGUACAUAUACAGACCCACCCCCUCUUGUCAUUGUCUUCUUCCACGCCAACCACCCCAAAGGACCCAUCGUUUCUUCUUCUUCUGAAUCAGAGAAUCAAGACCUCCAUUAGAAAACACCAUCGAAGACCUCUUGAUCUUCAGCUUCUUCUGCAGCAGCACAAACCAAAAGCAAUGACCCCUAAGUUGUUCCUCUUCUGUCUCGAAGCAGCAGGACCUGCAACCUUCCAACGAUCCCUCCCCACCAUGAACUGAUCUUCCUCAGUCGCUGAACACCCAGAAACACCUCCUCCAUCGACGCUCCUCUUCUUCAACUUCAUAGAGUCCAUUUUGAAGUCCGUUCGUUGAGUUGUUCGGGGUCGAGCGCUAGAGACGUUUGAGGUCGUCGGGUCCCUGUUCCGUUUGUGGUCAUUUUCUGGUGCAUUUCUGGUCCCUUACUCUAUUUUGGUGUGGUUAAAAGUAUAAUAAGAGUAGUAGAGGUUGAAUUCCGGGAACUGAGUUGGUAGUUGUAAGAGAUUUUGUGUUUUUGCUUAUCGUGUGAUGCACUAUUCUGUCGAAGGGUGUUCUAAAUUUGGUGUUUGUCGAUUUUUCUAUAGAAUUUGCUAGUGUUCAAGUUGUCGCAAAUCUGUUAACCAUGAAAUUCACAUCUCUGAUUCGUUGAAAUGUUUGAGCUGCUGCAGUUUUGUCUCAAAUUCUCGAUUACUGUCAAUAUGUGUCCAAUUUCCCUUUGUGAUUUUGUUUUGUUUCAUUUUUCAGUCAUUCUUUGGCUUGUUACGAGUAGAGUUUGGAUGCGGAACUUAUUGUCUGUUCGUUAAUAUGGAGCUACUGGAAAU
rnacentral:lncRNA from 1 species